UUUAUGAUUAGAAAUAAAAAUGUUUAUUAUUUUAGUAUUGACAAAGCUACCACAAAAGAUGGUACAGAUGCGCUGUAUUUAGGUGUUAAUCAAAGUUCUUAAACAUUAUUUAAUAAAGCUGGAUUGCCCCUGAAGAUGCUAAAAAUGUUUUAGCGAAACGUUGGGCCAGAAAGUGGAA